GACGAACGCUGGCGGCGUGCUUAACACAUGCAAGUCGAACGGAAAGGCCCUGCUUUUGUGGGGUGCUCGAGUGGCGAACGGGUGAGUAACACGUGAGUAACCUGCCCUUGACUUUGGGAUAACUUCAGGAAACUGGGGCUAAUACCGGAUAGGAGCUCCUGCUGCAUGGUGGGGGUUGGAAAGUUUCGGCGGUUGGGGAUGGACUCGCGGCUUAUCAGCUUGUUGGUGGGGUAGUGGCUUACCAAGGCUUUGACGGGUAGCCGGCCUGAGAGGGUGACCGGCCACAUUGGGACUGAGAUACGGCCCAGACUCCUACGGGAGGCAGCAGUGGGGAAUAUUGCACAAUGGGCGGGAGCCUGAUGCAGCAACGCCGCGUGCGGGAUAACGGCCUUCGGGUUGUAAACCGCUUUCGCCUGUGACGAAGCGUGAGUGACGGUAAUGGGUAAAGAAGCACCGGCUAACUACGUG
rnacentral:rRNA from 1 species